GACGAACGCUGGCGGCGUGCUUAACACAUGCAAGUCGAACGGAAAGGCCCUGCUUUUGUGGGUUGCUCAAGUGGCGAACGGGUGAGUAACAAGUGAGUAACCUGCCCUUUACUUUGGGAUAACUUCAGGAAACUGGUGCUAAUACCGGAUAGGAGCUCCUGCUGCAUGGUGGGGGUUGGAAAGUUUCGGCGGUUGGGGAUGGACUCGCGGCUUAUCAGCUUGUUGGUGGGGUAGUGGCUUACCAAGGCUUUGACGGGUAGCCGGCCUGAGAGGGUGACCGGCGACAUAGGGACAGAGAGACGGCCCAGAUUCCUACGGGAGGCAGAAGUGGGGAAUAUUGUACAAUGGGCGGAAGACUGAGGCAGCAAAGCCGCGUGCGGGAUGACGGCGUUCGGGUUGUAAACAGCGUUCGCCUGUGACGAAGCGUGAGUGGCGGUAAUGGGUAAAGAAGCACCGGCUAACUACGUG
rnacentral:rRNA from 1 species